GGUGACGUAGGAAAGUGGUCUAAUCCGCCAGUUUAAGGUCGAUCUACAUCGUCGUUAAAUCACUGGUCCUCCGGGGCGUGAGUUCGAAUCUCACCGUCAUCA